rnacentral:tmRNA from 1 species
GGGGGCGUACUGGUUUCGACGGGGGAAGCAUUGGCAGAGGUAGCCAGGCGAGAUCCCACUAGCUCGUUAAACAGUGGACCUUAUUAAGUGCCAACGAAGAAUACGCUCUAGCUGCUUAAUUAGCAGUUACCUCCUUCCGCCCUGGCCCGCGAGGGUGGACAGGGGGUCACACUAGCGGGCUACCUGGAAGUUAGGUCGGCGAGCUUUCCGGGGAAAACCUAGCCGGCUAGCCAAAGCAAGAUCCUGUCCCUGGGAGCUGCGGCGGCGAAAGCUAAAACAGGGACUAUCCUGGUAGAAGCUUCUGUGGGUGUUCUCUCGGACAGCGGUUCGACUCCGCUCGCCUCCACCC